rnacentral:lncRNA from 7 species
AUGCAUGUAAAUACAGAGCAAGCAAGUAGGAAAGCUAGGCAUAGCACAGCAAAAGAGCAAAGCAAAAGAAGGCAAAGAAUGACAAAAAGCAACCUUGCAGGAAUGGAGGAAUCUGUCCAGAGCUGUGCCCCUGCUUGCCACAGGAGCUGCGCGGGAGGAGAAGAACGUGGGCCAAAAGGAAUGGAGGAAUCUGUCCAGAGCUGUGCCCCUGCUUGCCACAGGAGCUGCGCGGGAGGAGAAGAACGUGGGCCAAAAGGUAAGAGGAGCUCCUUUGGGUUCUGGGCUUGAAGCAAAGCUGAGAAGCCAUGCCCGGGAGGAGGUGUGGGUAGCUACAGGCCACCUUGCUAUCUCCCCAAGAGAUGAGGUGCGUGGGCUAGGCACCGGGCAGGAGUGCUGGCCAGAAGCAAGCAUCUCUGUGGAGGAAGGCAAAGGGCGGAGGAGGUUCAAGGGUAGCUACCGGGCAUGGCCUUGCUCAGCAAGGGGAGGAAAGCCUGAAGGGCACGAGAAGGGGAUAGAGAAGGGCAGGCAGUAGGCGUGAAGCUGCGAGCAGAGUAGAGAGCAACUUGGCAGAGCAGCAAGCAGAGUAGGCAAGUGUUGAGGUUUGGCGUGAGUAGCAGCAAAAGCCCAGAGCAUCAAGAAGCAGGAAGUGAGGAGAAGGUAAGUGAAGGGCAGGCAAGGUAAUGGGAGGCAAAGGCAAGGGGAAAAGGGGGGGGUAGGGAGAAAGAAGGGAUGGGGAUGGGGAGGGGAUGGGUGAAGAGCAGAGCGGAGGGAAGGGCUGAGGGGAGGGCUGAAGGCAAACCUAUGAUGAAAAAAAGAGAAAAAAUAAGAACAAAAAAUAUGAAAAAAAGAGAAAAAAAGAAAAGAAAAAUAAGAAAAAGAGAAAAAAUGAAAAGAAAAAAAGAAAAAAUGAACAAAAAAGAGUAAAAAGAGAAAAAAAAAAAGAAAAAAGAAAAAAAAAAAAAAAAAAAAAGAAAAUGAAAAAAAAGAGAAAAAGAGAAAAGAAAAAAAGAAAAAGAAAGAAAAAAAAAGAAAAAAAGAAAAGAAAUAAAAAGAAGAAAAAUAUGAAAAAAGAAAAAGAAAAAAAGAAAAGAAAAAAACAGUAGAUGAAAAAAGAAAAAACAAAAGGAAAAACGAAUAAUGACAAGAGAAGAAAGGUAAAGAGAAAAGAAGAAAAAAGCCAAGUCAAAAAGUAAAGAAUAACUCGAAGGAAGGAGUGGAUGGCAAGAAAUACAGAGAAAGCAGUGCAUAGCACAGCAGAGCAAAGCAAGGCAAAAUAGCAGCCAAGCCACGAGAAUCAAGAAGUCAGUGAAGAGCAGGAAAGGUAAGUUUCCCUUAAAGCAAGGGGGAAUGGUAGUGGAAGGGAGAAAAGAGAGGGGAGGGGAGGGGAAGUGAAGGAGUGGGGGGAGAGGGGGAGGAGCAGUGGGGAAAGCGGUGGGGCUAGAGGGGGGUGAGGGGGGCAAGAGGGGGGAGGGAGGAGGGGGGGAGAGGGGGGGGAGUAGUGGGGGCGUGGGUGGACGGGGGGGGGAGAGGGUGGGAAGGAAAAAUUGGAGGUAGGGUGAGGGAAGGGGGAGGGUUGAAGGGAAAAUAAUGAAACAGAGGAAAAAAGAGAAAACAAGUAAAAAGCAAUGCAUGUAAAUACAGAGCAAGCAAGUAGGAAAGCUAGGCAUAGCACAGCAAAAGAGAGCAAAGCAAAAGAAGGCAAAGAAUGACAAAAAGCAACCUUGCAGGAAUGGAGGAAUCUGUCCAGAGCUGUGCCCCUGCUUGCCACAGGAGCUGCGCGGGAGGAGAAGAACGUGGGCCAAAAGGUAAGAGGAGCUCCUUUGGGUUCUGGGCUUGAAGCAAAGCUGAGAAGCCAUGCCCGGGAGGAGGUGUGGGUAGCUACAGGCCACCUUGCUAUCUCCCC